rnacentral:rRNA from 1 species
UAAUAGUGUAUAUUAAAGUUGUUGCAGUUAAAAAGCUCGUAGUUGAAUGUUGGUGUCGAACGAGCGGUCAGCUUCGGCUGUACUGCUCUCUCGACUCCUUCCUUCUGUGGACUACGUCGCACUUUACUGUGUGGCGCUAGGACGCAGAUCGUUUACUGUGAAAAAAUUAGAGUGUUCAAAGCAGGCCGUACGCUUGAAUACAUUAGCAUGGAAUAAUGGAAUAGGACGUCGGGCCUAUUUUGUUGGUUCUAGGACCGUCGUAAUGAUUAAUAGGGACAGUUGGGGCCGUUUAUAUUCCGUAGUCAGAGGUGAAAUUCUUGGAUUUACGGAAGAUAAACUACUGCGAAAGCAUUCGGCAAGGAUGUUUUCGUUAG